rnacentral:misc_RNA from 1 species
GACGUAGGAUGCAAGCGUUGUCCGGAUUUAUUGGGCGUAAAGAGUUCGUAGGCGGUUAGUUAAGUCUGGUGUUAAAUCCCGUGGCCCAACCACGGAGCUGCAUCGGAUACUGGCUGACUUGAGUGCGGUAGAGGCGAGUGGAAUUCCCAGUGUAGCGGUGAAAUGCGUAGAUAUUGGGAAGAACACCAGUGGCGUAAGCGACUCGCUGGGCCGUAACUGACGCUGAGGAACGAAAGCCAGGGGAGCGAAUGGG